CCCAGCAGACUCUGGGCCUUUCCCAGAUGUCUACCAGCCUUGGCCUUUGGGGUCCAGAGCUGCCUUCGGGGAGGGGACAGGCUUGCCAGCCCCCUCCUUUUUCCUGCCUGUGGAGUCUGACCCCUUCUAGGAACCUAUACAACCAAGGCCCCCCCAAAGGUCCUGGACUGCCCCCUCCUCUUCCUGCGCCCCAGUAACUCCCGCUUCUUUACCUCUCCCCUCAGAGCGGGACCUGGCCCUUCAUCUCUGCUUCACCCGUGGGGGAGCAGCUCCUACUGCGAGCGCUUUGUGGAAUGAACCGCAGUGUCACUCAGGACUAGAACUGAAAGGAAAACGUUCCCUUUCUGGCAUCAGGAGACACCUAAGGCCACGCAGCAAAUGCUCCGCUCCCUCAGGCUUUCUCACGUCCACACGCUUCUGCAGUUAAUACCUUCAAACCCCCAGAUGUUUGCCUUUUUGUUAAGUGAAGGUGCCCUGCAGGGAACACAUGGGUGUGUGCGCGUGUGUUGAAUCCUAUCAUGAAUGCCGCAGUUUAUCCACAGCCCCUGCGGUGGGAGUAUCUCCUCCCCAUUCUCUCCCAGAACAGACAAGAUGGAGGGGCUCCCCCUGAGCCUGGGUUGGGGAAGGGGGUGGAAGGCAGGGCCCAGUCCCUCACAGAAAUGACUCAAAUGUCCAGGCUGCCCAGGAGAUGGGCAGAGCUGUUCUUCCUGGUGCACCCGGAGGGAGGCACAGUUUAGUAAGAAAGUGAGGUAUUCAGCAUCUCCCCACAAUUUGCUGGCAUUUCAUUCAACUUCUAAGCUUCAACGGCCUUGAGAAAACCAAACAAGAAAAGGGGCAAACCCGAGCCCCCACCUCAUGCUGUAGGUGUGGGUGCAAGGAAUGGCUGUGAGCAAGCCCCCCCCCUCCCCCACUAAGUCGUUAAGGGAUGGGUUUAUUGAGCUCCUGCUCUGUGUUGUCAUAGGAGUCAUUCCUGUAAUAGCCACUUCCAAUGUGCUACUAGUUGACGUGCAUGCACCUUUCCUUUGUCACAGCAACCUUAGGACAUAGCUGCCAUCACCAUCCUCACCUGCAGAUGAGGGCACAGAGAGGCUGAGCUACUUGCCCAGGCUCACGUAGCUAGUCAGGAUUGACCCAGGUAUGGAGAUCAGAUAAAGGACGAUAAGACAAUGACCAACCACCCUGUGCUUGAGCUCCAAAAACAGAGAGGGAACACAUAACCCAGCAGGUGCUGGGGUACAUGUCCUGACUUCAGGAGGUCUUUGGGAAUCAGUUUGAAAGCAGUGACAUGGAGCCCCCAAGACACUGUAAGAAGAACAGCUCCUUGGGGCAGAAAUCAGGAGUUCCUGGUUGACAGCAGAGCUGGCUCAGGGCCAGCACGGGGUCAGGGCUCAACAGACAAUGACUGAUGGUCACACUGAUGGUCACACUCACCUAUUCCCUGCUGCUUCAAAACGUGCCGACCUUAGGACCACGUCAGUUCCUGACCUAGAAAUAAAUCUGAGUCCAGCUGUCAGAUUCCAUCAGAAGUCCCCUCCCCACGGGACCCCAACCUCUGUAGGAAACACAAGCCCGUCAAGUUUCCAUGGAUGGAUAUGUACCCAAGUCAUCUUCAAUGCCAUGGGAAUCCAGACUCUCAAAAAAAAGUGGCCCCAGCCCCUUAGAGCUCACCUUCCUGGCAUUGAACUUGAGAACUUUACGGAGCAGCAGAGAAGACACUGAAGUUCACAAACCCUUCACUCUCCUUGAGGUCCCAUAGGCCAGCUCAUUCAACAAGGUCACCAGACAAACCUGUCCUUUUCUGCAUUCUUUGCUGGCGGUCCCUCCUUAUCUGAGCUCACUGCAUCACUUGAGUUCAGCAACCACGAGGGGUUCACCCCUGGCCACAUUGGCGGAGAACCUACACUGUGUCAAGUGCCGUGCUGGGAGCUGGGGUUGUAGUGACCAGGUAGUAAACUGCCCUCAUGAGCUCACAUCUCCAUUCCCACAUCCCUGAAGUCUCCCCCUGAGCUACCUCAGAGGGGAAAGACAGCCCUGCUGCCUUGCUGCCCACAGCGGCAUCUGAGGAAGUGGGGCAGGGGAGCGUUGUGAAUGGCCAGCCCCAGGAGAGGGCCACCUGAGCACCCUCUUCUCGCAGCCCUGCCCUUUCGGCAGACACACCACACAUGGGUGUCCUCCUCGUCGGAGUGGUCACUAGCCGAGACCCUCACCAGCCUUUCUCCGCUCCCUCCUUGCCCUGCCCACCACGAAAUUGUGCUGGAACCCAACUGUACCCUCAAAAGGGCAGGGUUCAUUCCAGUUGGGCCCAUCAUUGUGUCCAGUGGUGCGUUGGUAAAUGUUUAACAAUCAGCGUGUUGAGAAAAAGGAAAGCCCUGAUUCACAACGUUUGACAAUUUCCAGGGUGUAAAUAUUCCUGCCGUGGCCGAUUUCAAGCUGCCAACAUGCAUGGCUGGACGUGGAGUUGGAAAGAGAUGGGCCCCAUGAGAGAGUAUUUCCGCCCUACAGACAGCAGACCGGGGGACAGCGGACAGAGCGGGAGGGCCAGAUUCAGCUCCUGGCCCGCGGAGCCUGAAACACUUACUCUCUGGCCCUUGUACAGAAAAAGCUUGGCGACCCCUGCAACAGACAUAAAUAACCUCCAGAACAGAGAUACUAGUAAAACAUAGAAGAAUAAUUAGGAAGUGAUGCGUUUUAUUACCUUUUAAAAUAUAUAAUUUAUUUCGUGGUAACUGUAAUUUAUUCUUGUUUAAUGGCUCUUUGACAACCGGCUUGCAAGCUUCCUGAAGAAGGAACAGUCGGCUCUCAUGAGCCAGUAGAGAUGAGUUAGCUCCAGCAUGCCACUACCUGUUUCCCUGCGCCGGGCCCCGAGUCCGUGCACAGGGGCUAUCUGCUGAAUGGUUGGAAAUCUAACUGCACUGCCAAGGGUCUAAGCACUAGGCAACAUUGCCCUGACCCUUCAGUCUUUCAUUCCGUUCCCUCAAACACCUCUUAGCACCUGCUGAGUGCCAGGGACUUUGUUGAGUGCUACAGAUCCAGUUGACACAACAUCUCCUCUUGGAGCUCAGAGUUGAGUGGGGGGAACCAGACACCCCCCCCCCCGCAAAAAUCACCACCCUCCC